rnacentral:rRNA from 1 species
CACACCGCCCGUCACAUCACGAAAGUGGAUUGUACUAGAAGUCCGCGCGCCAACCGCAAGGGGGCAGCGGCCCAAGGUGUGAUUCACAAUUGGGGUG